ACAUACUUAAUUUAUUUACAAUAUGUGAACAUUAAGGGAUUUUUCGCUGGAAUAUACUAUCAUGAUCAAAUCUCCGUAAAAACUUAAUGUAAUGUCUCAUAUUUUAAAAGGUGUUAGAAGUUGGUUUUUAUUUAAUACCAAUUUGGUCAAUGACAUCAUAGUCUGUAAAAGAUAAAUCUAUUAAAAUACUGUUACCAAACAUAA